rnacentral:rRNA from 1 species
CCUACGGGGGGCUGCAGUGAGGAAUAUUGGUCAAUGGCCGUAAGGCUGAACCAGCCAAGUAGCGUGAGGGAAGACUGCCCUAUGGGUUGUAAACCUCUUUUAUGCGGGGAUAAAGGUGUCCACGUGUGGAUGUUUGCAGGUACCGCAUGAAUAAGGACCGGCUAAUUCCGUGCCAGCAGCCGCGGUAAUACGGAAGGUCCGGGCGUUAUCCGGAUUUAUUGGGUUUAAAGGGAGCGUAGGCCGGUCUUUAAGCGGGCCGUGAAAUUUUGUGGCUCAACCAUGAGAGUGCGGCGCGAACUGGAGGCCUUGAGUGCGCGGAAGGCAGGCGGAAUUCGUGGUGUAGCGGUGAAAUGCUUAGAUAUCACGAAGAACCCCGAUUGCGAAGGCAGCCUGCCGCAGCGUUACUGACGCUGAAGCUCGAAAGCGCGGGUAUCGAACAGGAUUAGAUACCCGAGUAGUC